rnacentral:rRNA from 1 species
CCCUUAGAUGUCCUGGGCCGCACGCGCGUUACACUGAUGCAUUCAACGAGCUUAUAACCUUGGCCGAGAGGCCUGGGCAAUCUUGUUAACGUGCAUCGUGAUAGGGAUAGAUUAUUGAAAUUAUUAAUCUUGAACGAGGAAUUCCUAGUAAACGCAGAUCAUCAAUCUGCAUUGAUUACGUCCCUGCCCUUUGUACACACCGCCCGUCGCACCUACCGAUUGAGCAUCCCGGUGAAGACUCAGGAGAUAUGUACGUGGCUGGUCUCCAGCUGCGUUGCGUGCCGAAUUUGUCUAAACCUUGAUGCUUAGAGGAAGGAGAAGUCGUAACA